AUACUCUGGUUUCUCUCCAGAUCCUAUAGAUCUUUUGUCUUUUACUAAUGAUUUCUGUGGAGAGGAAUAAUUCUGAAUGUUACUCAAUUUUUUCAGGUCUCAUUUUUACAACGAGGC
ensembl:snRNA U5 U5 spliceosomal RNA